AAUUGAUUAUGACGUACUUGUACUGAUUGAGAUUUUAACACGAAGUGAGUGGCGAACGGGUGAGUAACACGUGGGUAACCUGCCCAGAAGUAGGGGAUAACACCUGGAAACAGAUGCUAAUACCGUAUAACAGAGAAAACCGCAUGGUUUUCUUUUAAAAGAUGGCUCUGCUAUCACUUCUGGAUGGACCCGCGGCGUAUUAGCUAGUUGGUGAGGUAAAGGCUCACCAAGGCAGUGAUACGUAGCCGACCUGAGAGGGUAAUCGGCCACAUUGGGACUGAGACACGGCCCAGACUCCUACGGGAGGCAGCAGUAGGGAAUCUUCCACAAUGGACGCAAGUCUGAUGGAGCAACGCCGCGUGAGUGAAGAAGGGUUUCGGCUCGUAAAGCUCUGUUGUUAAAGAAGAACGUGGGUAAGAGUAACUGUUUACCCAGUGACGGUAUUUAACCAGAAAGCCACGGCUAACUACGUGCCAGCAGCCGCGGUAAUACGUAGGUGGCAAGCGUUAUCCGGAUUUAUUGGGCGUAAAGCGAGCGCAGGCGGUCUUUUAAGUCUAAUGUGAAAGCCUUCGGCUCAACCGAAGAAGUGCAUUGGAAACUGGGAGACUUGAGUGCAGAAGAGGACAGUGGAACUCCAUGUGUAGCGGUGAAAUGCGUAGAUAUAUGGAAGAACACCAGUGGCGAAGGCGGCUGUCUGGUCUGCAACUGACGCUGAGGCUCGAAAGCAUGGGUAGCGAACAGGAUUAGAUACCCUGGUAGUCCAUGCCGUAAACGAUGAUUACUAAGUGUUGGAGGGUUUCCGCCCUUCAGUGCUGCAGCUAACGCAUUAAGUAAUCCGCCUGGGGAGUACGACCGCAAGGUUGAAACUCAAAAGAAUUGACGGGGGCCCGCACAAGCGGUGGAGCAUGUGGUUUAAUUCGAAGCUACGCGAAGAACCUUACCAGGUCUUGACAUCUUCUGACAGUCUAAGAGAUUAGAGGUUCCCUUCGGGGACAGAAUGACAGGUGGUGCAUGGUUGUCGUCAGCUCGUGUCGUGAGAUGUUGGGUUAAGUCCCGCAACGAGCGCAACCCUUAUUACUAGUUGCCAGCAUUAAGUUGGGCACUCUAGUGAGACUGCCGGUGACAAACCGGAGGAAGGUGGGGACGACGUCAAAUCAUCAUGCCCCUUAUGACCUGGGCUACACACGUGCUACAAUGGAUGGUACAACGAGUCGCGAGACCGCGAGGUUAAGCUAAUCUCUUAAAACCAUUCUCAGUUCGGACUGUAGGCUGCAACUCGCCUACACGAAGUCGGAAUCGCUAGUAAUCGCGGAUCAGCAUGCCGCGGUGAAUACGUUCCCGGGCCUUGUACACACCGCCCGUCACACCAUGAGAGUUUGUAACACCCAAAGCCGGUGGGGUA
rnacentral:rRNA from 1 species